rnacentral:lncRNA from 1 species
UUCUUGAUGUUAUUUGGUUUGUGCAUUUUUUGAAGAUUCUUUUUAUACACUAAAUGAUAUUUAAUUUUCUACUUUACCCCUAAUUAUUCUAUUAUAUUUUUUCUCAGUUUUAUUAAUACAUUAAAAUAAUAGGGUUAAAAAAUUUUGUUUAAAGUCUUACAUUAAAAUUAUCAAAUAAUAUGCAGUUUCUCAAAAAAUUAACAAUGAUAUUUAUAAUGUGAAACAGAAGAAAUAUUAAUUGAACAAAUAGGCUGAUGACACAAAAGAAAUCAUUCUAAUAAAGGCAUGUUGGUCUAGUGAUCAGUACAAGGAGUUAGUUUCGUUGUAUCAUAAGUUUAAUCUAUGUCCUUAGACAAAAAAAAAAGAAAAAGAAAGAAAGUUAAAUCUAUGUUCGGAAGAUAAUUUAUACCAUGCCGUGCUCUUAUCAACCGUAUAUACACGCCCAUACCAUCCACGCCCGUUUUUUCAGCUCUUGAGUCUUAUUCCGUUCUAAUGGUUGGUACGUUAAUUUUUCCAAAACCUAAAAGUUAUGUUUACUGAUCCAGCAAUCACCACACAACUUUUUUCGUGUUUUGGCUUCACUCACACGGUAUCGCG